UAGGGAAUAUUGGUAAUGUGCGAAAGCGCGAACCAGCAACGCCGCGUGCACGAUGAAGGCCUUCGGGUCGUAAAGCUCUGUCCUCAAGGAAGAUAAUGACGGUACUUGAGGAGGAAGCCCCGGCUAACUACGUGCCAGCAGCCGCGGUAAUACGUAGGGGGCUAGCGUUAUCCGGAAUUACUGGGCGUAAAGGGUGCGUAGGUGGUUUCUUAAGUCAGAGGUGAAAGGCUACGGCUCAACCGUAGUAAGCCUUUGAAACUGGGAAACUUGAGUGCAGGAGAGGAGAGUGGAAUUCCUAGUGUAGCGGUGAAAUGCGUAGAUAUUAGGAGGAACACCAGUUGCGAAGGCGGCUCUCUGGACUGUAACUGACACUGAGGCACGAAAGCGUGGGGAGCAAACA
rnacentral:rRNA from 1 species